rnacentral:rRNA from 1 species
GUGGGGAAUAUUGGACAAUGGGCGAAAGCCUGAUCCAGCCAUGCCGCGUGUGUGAAGAAGGUCUUCGGAUUGUAAAGCACUUUAAGUUGGGAGGAAGGGCAGUAAGUUAAUACCUUGCUGUUUUGACGUUACCGACAGAAUAAGCACCGGCUAACUUCGUGCCAGCAGCCGCGGUAAUACGAAGGGUGCAAGCGUUAAUCGGAAUUACUGGGCGUAAAGCGCGCGUAGGUGGGUUUGUAAGUUGGAGGUGAAAUCCCCGGGCUCAACCUGGGAACUGCCUCCAAAACUGCAUGACUAGAGUACGGUAGAAGGUAGUGGAAUUUCCUGUGUAGCGGUGAAAUGCGUAGAUAUAGGAAGGAACACCAGUGGCGAAGGCGACUACCUGGACUGAUACUGACACUGAGGUGCGAAAGCGUGGGGAGCAAACAGGAUUAGAAACCCGGGUAGUCC